rnacentral:lncRNA from 10 species
GCCAUCACGCCCGGCUAAUUUUUUGUAUUUUUAGUAGAGACGGGGUUUCACCGUGUUAGCCAGGAUGGUCUCGAGCUCCUGACCUCAUGAUCCGCCCGCCUCGGCCUCCCAAAGUGCUGGGAUUACAGGCGUGAGUCACAGCGCCCGGCGAGUUCAUACUGCUAUUUUUAAUUCAAAUUCGGACAACAGGGCUAAGGUGGACACUUAGGUGGCCAAUGAAUCUCUUCCUAUAUUGGACUUGAAACUUAGAAAAUUACACAGUAAAGCAACAAAGCUCAAGAAAUGUACAAAACCAUGUUUGAUGCCACAAGGAACAGGAAAAGUGAAGCAUCAUAUGAAGAAGUAAUACAUUAAUCAAGCCAACAUGGGAAGGAGAAAACAGAUGAAAUAUAGUCAAGCCAUGGGCUUCGACAAAGUUCUCAGAGAAACAGACUCCCAGACGACGCUGGCCAUUCCCUGGCAACGGCCAGGUUUGCCAUUAUCCAGCCACUCUGAGACCUGUUAUCAGGCCUGAGAUGCCAUGGGACUCCCUCCAGGAACUCUUUUAUGAUGAUAGUACAUUGAACAUAAAGGAAGAUAUAGAUACACGAAAAUGUUAAGUUGCAGAAGAGGAAAGAUGGGGGAGCUCACAUAAGAUGGCUUCAAUCUUCUCAGUGGAGGAGGAUUGGAGGUAAUUUGCUUUUAAUUAAGAGGACAGAGUAGUGUUAGAGGGCCCAGGAAACUUAAAAAAAAGGCUUGGAAUGACAGGCUGAGGGAAAUUAUGAGAUUCAACAUAUUAAUACAACUCUACUCAACAAUAGUUGAAGACCCAGGAUGGGUGAGUACAGUGUCUUCAGUAGAGAUUUCUUUAUUCCUCUAGAAAAGCUGGACAGUCUAAAAGUAGGAGCAGAGAAAAAUGACACUGAGUUGUACCCUGACCUGGGAGAUGCCAUGUGGGAAUAGCAGAAGAUAAAAAGUCCUAGGGAUACUAGAGGUGGUAGAGACAUCUUUCAAUGUUGUGACUAUCACACAAGAAACAAAGCAGCAGGGGAGGAAGAUAAUGAGAGCCAAAUGAUUUGGUUUGAGUUCAAGGUUUUAAAGAAAUAACAGUUGGGGGUGAUUUUACAGAGAGGUUGAAGUGUAAUUAAGAUCAAAGUCACUGGUGAAUGUAAAAAAAUAUGUUGUGAAGCCAAGACUUUAACAGGUUGUUCAGGAAUAGAAUUGUGAGUAAAACAAAAGCAAAAUUAAAUAUCAUCUCCAGCACACCACCACCACCGCUACCACUCAUCACCACCAACACUAACAGCAAGAACACAAUCUGUUUGCCACAUGUGUAAAGCACUAGGAAAUUUAGCAGAGUGUCCCAGAGGGUGAAGCAUAAAUUAAAUAAAGGGAGUGGAUUAUUCGAAUUAUAUGAAUUCCAAAAGGAGAAGUUGUUGAAGGAUGGGGGUAACAAUAUUCGCUGGAGUAAAAGUGAGUUACAUAGAGUCCAUUUGUGAAAAAUACCAUGUUAUCAGGUUUCAUAUGAAUGAAAGAUGUCAAAAGAGUGUUUGAAAAAAAUUUCUGAAGGGUGUUUAUGGGACAGAGGAGAGGGCUGGGCAAAAAGUAGUAAGAGAGGAAUUGGCCUGGAAUUGAUGAUGCUAUAAAUGAGAGAAGGCAAGAAGUAAUAGUGGUGAAAGAUUUGGAAGGGGCUUUGGAGAGAAAUGAAAGUAAAAGAGAAGGAGAAAAACAAAAUAAGGCUACUCUUGGGGAGGAUCACAGAAGGCUAGUAGAAGGGCAUUUAUCUGGAAAUCUGAACAGCAAAAGCAUUCAAAUAAAGCAAUUGUUAUAAAAGGAUUAUGUGUGGUCAUCCAUUAAAAAAGAAGUCAUACCAAUGUACUGUUUAAAAAUGAUUUGCUGGAGUACUGAGGCUAAGUAAUGGUGUGAUGCAGAAACAGUGGUCCCUAAAAACUUGGUUUGUGAUGGCAAGUUCACCUAAGUCAUGGGAUAUAGAAUCCAAGUAUGGACUUUAAGACAAGCAACACUGUAACUAAUAAUAUUUGAGAAAUCAGAAAUGAUGGUUCCUAGUUGUUAUAUCUUAGCAGGUAAAAAAAGUGUUUCAAUGUGUUGAAUUACUAAUAGGCAGAUAUCUAAUUUUUAAUAGAUAGGCAGAAAAUUUCACUAACAGAUAUUUUAACUCUUGAUUUUUCUAUGUAUCUAAAAAUAGAUAUUUUCCUAAAAGUAAUUUAAUGCUUUGAAACAUUAAAAUUACACACACACACACACACACACAAACACACACACACACUUUGUUACUCUGUAGGAGAUGGAAAAUCCAAGAGCUAAAAUUUGGGAGAUGGCAGGGCUACAUCACAUUAAGUGGUAGAAGCAAAAGGCCCUUUGGGAAUAAAUGUAUCUAACUCCAGAAAUACUGUUACUCUUGAAACAGAUCAGAUCCUGUUCAUUUCAGGUAAAUGAUCUUUGAAAUCAGUUUCAAGUUUCUAGUCAAGAAAGUAGAUAUGAGAUUCUACCUCUAUAAAUUUACCUCCCAUUACAAAAUGAGCAAUAGUAAUAUUGUUUUAGGAGCCACAACUAUUUUUAGUUCAAGUAACAUCUUAUGUAGCAUCUUUGAGAACUCAUUUUUUUCCAUGCAAAUAGUCUAACUAUUUAAGGAAUAUAGAGAGCACAAAACAUGGGUAAAGACAUACUGUUUCGGGCUGGGCAUGGUGGCUCACGCCUGUAAUCCUAGCACUUUGGGAGGCACAGGCAGGCAGAUUGCCUGAGCUCAAGGGUUCGAGACUAGCCUGGUCAACAUGGUGAGACCCUGUCUCUAUUAAAUUACAAAAAAAAUUACCUGGGUGUGGCGGCAUGCACCUGUAAUCCUAGCUACUUGGGAGGCUGAGGCAGGAGAAUUGCUUGAACCCAGGAGGUGGAGCUUGCAGUGAGCUGAGAUCGCGCCACUGCACUCCAGCCUGGGCAACAGGGUGAGACUCCAUCUUAAAAAAAAAAAAAAAAGGACAUACUGUUUCUCUAACUUUUGCGAUGUGUUUCACAUUUUGAUGUAAUUGACUUCGCUUAUGUUUUGGAGUUUUUGUUGUCCCUCCACCUGCCUUGGAAGACUUGUAGAAAAUCAGAAUUUUGUGAGAUUCCAAUGCAAAGGAAAUCAUUUAGUUUUACUUUAAGCAACUCUUAAGUAGGCAAGAGUAUUAGGAUUCUCCAGAGAAACAGAACUAAAUAUGUCUAUAUAUGUAUAUAAAAUAUAUACUUCUAUGUAAAUCUAUAUUGUACAUGCAAACACACACACGCACCCACACAUGCGUGUGCACACACACACAGAGAAAGUAAAAAAGUGGUUCACAUUAUUGUGGAGGCUGGAGUCCCAAGAUCUGCAGUGGGCAAGCUGAAAAUACAGGGGAAGUCAUGGUAUAAGAUUUAGUCCAAGUUGGAAGGGCUGAGAACUCAGAGUCAAUGAUUAAGUUCCAGCCUGAGGGCUAGAGAAGAUCAAUGUCUCAGCUCAAGCUGUCAGGCAGGCUAAGUAUCCUCUUAACGCAACCAUUUUGCUCUAUUCUGAUAUUCAGUUGAUUAAAUGAGACCCACACUCAUUGGAGAAGGCAAGCCACUUUACUCAAUUUACCAAUUCAAGUGUUACUAUCACCCAGAAACAUCCUCACAAAAACGCCCAGAAUAAUGUUUGACCAAAUGUUGGGAACCCCAUUGCCCAGUCAAAUGAACCCAUAAAAUUAAUGAUCACAAUUGGAGAAAUAAUCAUUUGUAACUGCUGUGCCAAAUUCUUUCUGUAGUUUUGUCUAUACCAUGGCUAGACAUGUGCAUGAAAGAUAUUUCAUAUUGAAAGAUAAAUAUAUUUAAAGAAUAAAUAUCAUUAUGAAAAACUUGCUUAAGACUGGUAUUAUCGUGAGUGUGUGUGUGUGUGUGUGUGUGUGUGUGUGUGAGUUGGGAUCUCUCUCUGUCUCUCAGGCUGGAAUGCAGUGGUUCUAUCAUGGCUCGUGGCAGCCUCAAACUUCUGGGCUCAAGCAAUUCUCCCAUCUCAUCAUCCCAAGUAGCUACGACUACAAGUGCAUGUCACCAUGUCUAGCUAAAGUUGUUUCUUUUUAUUUUUGUACAGGCAGGAUCUUGCUAUGUUGCCCAGGCUGGUUUUGAACUUCUGGCCUAAAGUGAUCCUCCUGCCUUGGCCUCCCAAAGUGCUGGGAUUACAGACGUGACUCAUCGUGCCCAUCCUCCUAUUAUCUUUUUAACAUUUUUGCUUUCUUUGAGAUUUUAUAUACUACAAAGAAUGUCAAGUUGGGUAGAUUUAUUGUAAAUAGAAUAAGGUAUCUCUGGAUUUGUGUUUAUAGCAUUAAAGACUUCAAUAAAGAUUUAUACAUUAUAUCUG